rnacentral:rRNA from 1 species
AACGAACGCUGGCGGCAUGCCUAACACAUGCAAGUCGAACGAGAUCUUCGGGUCUAGUGGCGCACGGGUGCGUAACGCGUGGGGAUCUGCCCUUUGGUUCGGAAUAACAGUUGGAAACGACUGCUAAUACCGGAUGAUGACGAAAGUCUAAAGAUUUAUCGCCAGAGGAUGAGCCCGCGUAGGAUUAGCUAGUUGGUGUGGUAAAGGCGCACCAAGGCGACGAUCCUUAGCUGGUCUGAGAGGAUGAUCAGCCACACUGGGACUGAGACACGGCCCAGACUCCUACGGGAGGCAGCAGUGGGGAAUAUUGGACAAUGGGCGAAAGCCUGAUCCAGCAAUGCCGCGUGAGUGAUGAAGGCCUUAGGGUUGUAAAGCUCUUUUACCCGGGAUGAUAAUGACAGUACCGGGAGAAUAAGCUCCGGCUAACUCCGUGCCAGCAGCCGCAGUAA